rnacentral:rRNA from 1 species
GAUGAACGCUGGCGGCGUGCCUAACACAUGCAAGUCGAACGAAGCAGGAAAGCGGAAGUUUUCGGAUGGAAGCAUUCUUGACUGAGUGGCGGACGGGUGAGUAACGCGUGGGUAACCUGCCUCAUACAGGGGGAUAACAGUUAGAAAUGACUGCUAAAACCGCAUAACACGAAGAUGCCGCAUGACAUUUUCGUCAAAUAUUUAUAGGUAUGGGAUGGGCCCGCGUCUGAUUAGCUGGUUGGUGGGGUAAAGGCCUACCAAGGCGACGAUCAGUAGCCGGCUUGAGAGAGUGACCGGCCACAUUGGGACUGAGACACGGCCCAAACUCCUACGGGAGGCAGCAGUGGGGGAUAUUGCACAAUGGGGGAAACCCUGAUGCAGCGACGCCGCGUGAGUGAAGAAGUAUUUCGGUAUGUAAAGCUCUAUCAGCAGGGAAGAUAAUGACAGUACCUGACUAAGAAGCCCCGGCUAACUACGUGCCAGCCGCCGCCGUAAAAC